CAUUUGCAUUUUCAAUUUCUUUCAUUUACAUUCCUCUUUCGAAGGAGGAAUGUAAUCUAGACGCACCCUUGCAAACCAGCAGGCACACCAUGGCAGCUUGCCCAAAGGGACAUGGGCAAGUCUCUUGAUCAUGUAAUCAGCUCCAGUUUGGGAGAUUCUAUCACUCAGGGGAACAAUGGAUUUCCUGCCAUUACCUCUGCAUGGGCAAUAUUAUAAAAGGAUCCUGGGAAUGCCUCCAUCUCGGUCUUCAGUCCUGCUCUUGACUCUAAAAGCACCUUUGCUAAGGACAGAGGGCCAGGAAGAAUUUGUUGACCCAGUCUAACAUACGAUGUACUCUAGAGGGACUUUUAAGCUGGCAGUUUGAUACAUCUCUGCGAAGAGCCUGCAUCACGAACUUGGUGAUUGAUGUAUAUAAUGUGUUUUCUCUAAUAAUCCUACUUUCAACCUUUUCUUUCUUUUUAUUAAUAAGCCUUUAGAUUUUAGAUUCUAAAGGAUUGGCACAGCGUGCUCUUUGGGUAAGAUCUGAGGUGUAUAUUGACCUGGAACUCUGGCUGGUCCUUCAGGACUGAGAGAACUUGUUUGGAAUUGGUGAGAUUGGUUUUUAUAGCCUUUCAUCUGUGUAAGGUGCAGUGCUAGUUCUGGCACAGGAAAAGCUGGAGUGUCUAAGGGGAUUUGCUUGUGCAACUACUUGCUGGCCAGAUUGGUAGCUGGAGUGUUGUGUGUGGAGUGCUGUGUGUGUUUGGGGCCUUAAAGAGAAGGACCCCAGUCUUGUGCUGUAAGUAGCCCUGGUUCUAAGCAUUUCUCCCUGAUUUGACCCUCUCAGUGGUGCCCCAGACCUCCUGUAAUGUUACACCUCCUCUGCUAUUUCAAUGAGAUAUUGAGUGGAGCUUCCUCAGUCUGUCCUAUUGAAGCGCUUGCACUGUGGAUAUAUAAUUUUAAAAAGGCAAUGGUGCAACAGGACUGGCUCCUGUGCCCUCCACGUGAAUGGUCCAGUCACCGGGCUAAAGAAUCAUUCUCACACAGGCUUGCCCAGGUUUAUAGUCAUUCCACUGUGGCUAAAUACUGAAAGAAUCACCACGCCAAAGAGAGAGAGGUGUGAGAAUGAGUCUGUCACCUAGUGGUUAAUGCAUUUACCUAGGAGGUGGAAGAUCCAUGAUCCAGUCUACCAACCUCCAGAUGCUUCUAAAAAUAUUUUAUUUGUACUCAGAGUGGAACAAAUUCAACAAGAAGAAACAAGAGCACGCCACCUCACAAAAUUCAGUGGUUGGAGCACUCACUUCAUGGUAGUACAUCACAGACCAAAUUCAUUCUUCUCCUUCCAAGAAUGUAAGAGGGAAUUUGAAUCUCCCACAUGCCUGUUCAUUCCUCGGAGAUGUGUCAGUUCGAGUUGUAUUGGUCAUGUAGUGUGACGAACAUGCAGUUACAGAAGGUAAUUUGGUGGAACACAUCAACACAUUGUAAAAACCAGCUGCCUUUGUCAGUGGCAGUUUUACUACUCCACCAAGCAAUUUUGAAAACUCUCCCAGUAGUUUCCAUUUGAUGACCCAUCACAUUCAACUUGAGAAAAUUGGUUAUAACAGAAUAACCUGGAGGUAACUGACACAUGGUCCAUGAUGUCCAGGACCUUGUAUGGGGAGGAGAUUCCUGAUCAGAUAAAGAUGGUGCAUUUAGCUUCACUGUAAUGUGUGACUGUAGCAUCAGAGAGAAGUCCUGGAUGACCGGAUAACUGUAUACCUCUUCAAAGAUUGGAAAUGUUGCACUCUUGACUGCAGAUGACAAGAAAUGCACAAGAAUGUUCAAUAUUGAAACCUAAUAAACAGUUGUUAAGGUGCAGAUUAUCACACAACUACCCAAACAUUUGUUACCUGGAUGUCGGACCAACUACAUGGGGAGGGCUGCACCAUUUAGAAACUUCAAGUGCCCAUUAGUAAUUUGGAGGAGAAACCUCAAUAUUGUUGCAAAAAUGAUAUUAACAACAUUAUUGUAACUUUAUUUUUUUUAAUUGCUUGCACCUUUAUUGAAUGGUAAGGUCUAGCUACAAAAAUGUUAUUGUCAGGAUGCUUGGAAACAGAACAAUAGAUAUUUAGCUAAUUAAGUUACAAAAUCUUAAAGAUGAUCAAAUAAACUCCAGGAAGUUUCUGUUUAUGGCUCCCAAGGACAAGCAAACAUAAAACUAUGUAAACACACAAAGGAAGAAACUUGAUUUUGAUAGGAAUGUAGGGUUGUGUUAUCAAAACAAUACAUAUAGAGGUAAAUAUAGAGGUAAAGUAGGCCUACCUAGACCGUUUUCUUUUGAAAGAAAAACCUGAGUUUAAACCUAUACAAAAAUUCUAGAAAUAUCCUUAUUGAAUUUGAUUUCUUUUGUAAACACAGUAAAUAGAAAACAUACAUGGUGGGAAAUAUUUUUUAGAAGAUACUAAUUAUUUUCAAUUUUUUCCCCACUCCUUAAAGGAUCUUUGCAACUUCACAAAUGCUGAAGAUAAUAUGAGAAUAUUAUCUUCAUGUGAAUAUGUGACUAUUUCAUAUCUAAAUGCUGGAGUUAAGAUUGCUUACUUUUGCCAACUAGAAGAAAACUGACUAUUUGUUAAUAACCAACGGAUCUACUUGCCAAGAAACAAAGUUAUUUUUCCCAACUAUAAACAUUUUAGUUAUUUCAAAAUAACAGGCCUACUCUGUCCUUGGUCUUUCUCUUGCAUCUAAUGUUUUCUUAUAGAAUAAAUAGAAUGUUUUCUUAUUACCCUUAAUACCAUUUUGUGCUUUGGCCUUUCUAAUUCUUUGCUUCCACUUUCUGUAGAACUCCUUUUGUUGUUAUUGUUGUUGUUUCAGAUAACUGAAGAUCUGCUGGUUAACCCAGUGUGGUCUCUUGCCACACUUCCUAUCUUUUCAAUGCAGCAGGAUAGUUUGGUCUUGUGCCCUUAAUAAUGGCUUUUUAAAAAAAGCUAAUUUUCUAUGUGUCUGCACUGCACUGUUAUUUUGAAAUAACAAUGUGAGCAUCUACACAGCCAUUCUGUUAUGUGAAAUAAUUUCAAAAUAACGGAUGGCUUAUUCUAUGAGGAACAGUGCCUAUUCCAAAAUAGCUAUUUUUGAAUAAGGCAUGUGUGGAUGCUCCACAGCUGCUGUUUCAAAACCAAGGCCAUACUGAGUUAUUCCUCCCCAGUUCCUCUUGGGGCUCUAAAUCAAGAUAGCACAUCUACAUUAGGAAAGCCUGUCUCAGACUAAUUUUGAGGCUUCCCUACAGUAUAAACGUGCUAUUUCAAAAUAAACUAUUUUGGAAUAACUAUUCCGGAAUAGCUUAUUUUAAAAUAAGCAUGCAGUAUAGACGUACCCUAAAAGAUUUUUCCCCUUAGACUUGUUUCAGAAUUGUCAUGGUUAAUAACUGUGAUUAUUUUACUUGGUCUUGAUCAUGGUGCACCCCAAGUUACACAAAAGAACCCAUGUGACUAAGGAGUGGGAGCCAUACCUCUGAGUUAGCAGUGAAAGGAAAAAUUAGGUAAAACUGGACUACCAUUUCUUGAUUCUCUAAAGGAAAUAUUUUUAGUAAUUUUUAAAUCAGAAUUAUCUGGGAUCCAACAAUUUAAAACUACCCCUUUCCACCUCACAGCAACCAGUGUUGUUCAUAGUGGCAAUAUUACAUCUGUGCUUUAUGAGUUGCCCUGGCAGCCAACAGAUUUCUGGGGGAAGCUGAAAGUGCUAGUUUUGACCUAGAGCCGAUGAGAGGGCUAGUGAUAAGUAUAAGGAGAGUGGUUUACUGUGGGGUCUGGGACAAGUGUUUUACAUUGUUUUACGACCACGAAAGCUUUGGAAAGUCCCUUUAAUGUGAAUAAAUUAAUACAAUAAGGCUACGUCUACACUGGCAUGAAUUUCCGAAAAUGCUAUUAACGGAAAAGUU